AUUGAACGCUGGCGGCAGGCCUAACACAUGCAAGUCGAACGAGUGGCGGACGGGUGAGUAAUGUCUGGGAAACUGCCCGAUGGAGGGGGAUAACUACUGGAAACGGUCGCUACUACCGCAUACUAUCGGUUGUCCCCAGAUGGGAUUAGCUAGUAGGUGGGGUAAAGGCUCACCUAGGCGACGAUCCCUAGCUGGUCUGAGAGGAUGAUCAGCCAAACUGGAACUGAGACACGGUCCAGACUCCGACGGGAGGCAGCAUUGGGGAAUAUUGAACAAUGGGCGCAAGCCUGAUGCAGACAUGCGGCGUGUAUGAAGAAGGCCUUAGGGUUGUAAAGUACUUUCAGCGGGGAGGCGUUACCGGCAGAAGAAGCACCGGCUAACUCCGUGCCAGCAGCCGCGGUAAUAC
rnacentral:rRNA from 1 species